UCCGUAGGCGGUGCGGCAAGUCGGAAGUGAAAUCUCAGGGCUUAACCCUGAGGCUGCUUCCGAAACUGCCGUGCUGGAGUGCGAGAGAGGCGAGUGGAAUUGCAGGUGUAGCGGUGGAAUGCGUAGAUAUCUGCAGGAACAUCCGAGGCGAAAGCGGCUCGCUGGAUCGCAACUGACGCUGAGGGACGAAAGCUAGGGGAGCAAACAGGAUUAGAUACCCUGGUAGUCCUAGCCCUAAACGAUCAGGACUGGGCGUGGGCCUCGUACGGGGCUCGUGCCGCAGCUAACGCGUUAAGUCCUGCGCCUGGGGAGUACGGUCGCAAGGCUGAA
rnacentral:rRNA from 1 species